AUUGAACGCUGGCGGCAGGCCUAACACAUGCAAGUCGAGCGGUAGAGAGGAGCUUGCUUCUCUUGAGAGCGGCGGACGGGUGAGUAAUGCCUAGGAAUCUGCCUGGUAGUGGGGGAUAACGUUCGGAAACGGACGCUAAUACCGCAUACGUCCUACGGGAGAAAGUGGGGGAUCUUCGGACCGCACGCUAUCCGAUGAGCCUAGGUCGGAUUAGAUAGUUGGUGAGGUAGAGGCUCACCAAGGCGACGAUCCGUAACUGGUCUGAGAGGAUGAUCAGUCACACUGGAACUGAGACACGGUCCAGACUCCUACGGGAGGCAGCAGUGGGGAAUAUUGGACAAUGGGCGCAAGCCUGAUCCAGUCAUGCCGCGUGUGUGAAGAAGGUCUUCGGAUUGUAAAGCACUUUAAGUUGGGAGGAAGGUCAGUAGCUUAAUACGUUGCUGAUUUGACGUUACCGACAGAAUAAGCACCGGCUAACUCUGUGCCAGCCGCCGCGGUAAGAC
rnacentral:rRNA from 1 species